AGAGCCCCUGACAUCAUGUCAUCAACGGUCUUCUCACUCAGAGCCCCUCACAUCCCAUGCUGUCCCUCAGCUCCUGUGAGGCCCCCGUGUGCUCCUAUAAAGACAGUCAAUCAGGCUUCCUCCAAUGCGCCACAGACAGGAUCGUGCGGCUCACCUUUCUUCACUUUUGCAAGGAUAACUUCUGAUGUGCUCACAGAGGCCCCUAUUUCCUUCUUUCAUCCAGUCUGAUACACUGAGUGUGUGGAAGAAGUCAGGCCUGUCGGACCUCAGUGGUCAUCUAUUGAAUUCUGCUUUGCACGCUUUAGCUGGUGGUCUCACUGUAUCCUGAGAUGCACUUUUUUGGGAAAGUGGACAUGGUGUUCCCCUGUUCUCCUUCAUUGGCCCUAAAGGUUUCCCAUUCCUUUUAGGCAAAAAUGCAAUGUACACAACUAUUCCCAUUUAUUAAUUUCUAUGUUCCAGAAACUGUCCUAGACACUUUAUAUAAGCUCACUUAAGUCUCAUGACCAUCCUGUGAGGUUUAUAUUCUUGCACCCAUUUUACAGAUGAGGAAAUAGGGUCAGUAGGUUGAUUAACACAGCUGAAUGGCAGAGCUGGAUUCGAUCUGAGGUCAGCCUGACUUUUCCUUCAGGAUGAUGCGCUGCUUCCUCUGAUGAAGGAUCAGGGAUGCAGAAUGGGACUGAUGUACCUGUUCAACCAUCCCACUCAUUCUCCUCACUUUGCAUGCUCUUCUCGGGGCCAUCUACAGACAGGUGAGGGGCCCCCUACAGACAGGUAGAUGCAAGAAAACACUGGACAGAAAGG
rnacentral:lncRNA from 10 species